AAUCAACGCUGGCGGCGUGCCUCAGACAUGCAAGUCGAACGAUUAAGACUUCCUUCGGGAAGUGUAUAAAGUGGCGCACGGGUGAGUAACACGUAAGUAAUCUACCCUCGAGUGGGGAAUAACGUUCGGAAACGAACGCUAAUACCGCAUCAUGCAGCGGCAUCGCAAGAUGACAGUUGUUAAAGGAGUAAUUCGCGUGAGGAGGAGCGUGCGGCAGAUUAGCUAGUUGGUAAGGUAACGCCUUACCAAGGCUACGAUCUGUAUCCGGUCUAAGAGGACGGUCGGACACACUGACACUGAAUAACGGGUCAGACUCCUACGGGAGGCAGCAGUCGGGAAUUUUGGGCAAUGGGCGAAAGCCUGACCCAGCAACGCCGCGUGAAGGAUGAAGUAUUUCGGUAUGUAAACUUCGAAAGAAUGGGAAGAAUAAAUGACGGUACCAUUUAUAAGCUCCGGCUAACUACGUGCCAGCCGCCGCCGUAACAC
rnacentral:rRNA from 1 species